GCCGGCGUAGCUCAGAGGUAGAGCAACUGAUUCGUAAUCAGUAGGUCGCGGGUUCAAAUCCCAUCGCCGGCUCCA
rnacentral:tRNA from 1 species